rnacentral:rRNA from 1 species
AGAUUGAACGCUGGCGGCAUGCCUUACACAUGCAAGUCGAACGGCAGCACGGGAGCAAUCCUGGUGGCGAGUGGCGAACGGGUGAGUAAUACAUCGGAACGUGCCCAAUCGUGGGGGAUAACGCAGCGAAAGCUGUGCUAAUACCGCAUAAGAUCUACGGAUGAAAGCAGGGGAUCGCAAGACCUUGCGCGAAUGGAGCGGCCGAUGGCAGAUUAGGUAGUUGGUGAGGUAAAGGCGUCACCAAGCCUUCGAUCUGUAGCUGGUCUGAGAGGACGACCAGCCACACUGGGACUGAGACACGGCCCAGACUCCGUACGGGAGCAGCAGUGGGGAAUUUUGGACAAGUGGGCGAAAGCCUGAGUCCAGCCAUGACCGCGUGCAGGAUGAAGGCCUUCGGUUAGUAAACUGUAC